rnacentral:rRNA from 1 species
AUUGAACGCUGGCGGCAGGCCUAACACAUGCAAGUCGAACGAGUGGCGGACGGGUGUGUAAUGUCUGGGAAACUGCCCGAUGGAGGGGGAUAACUACUGGAAACGGUAGCUAAUACCGCAUACCAUCGGAUGUGCCCAGAUCGGAUUAGCUAGUAGGUGGGGUAACGGCUCACCGAGGCGACGAUCCCUAGAUGGUCUGAGAGGGUGACCAAGAACACUGGAACUGAGGGACGGAAAAGACUCCAACGGGAGCAAGCAGGGGGGAAUAUUGCACAAGGGGCACAAGCCAAAUGCAGCCAUGCCGAGUGUAUGAAAAAGGCCUUCGGGUUGUAAAGUACUUUCGGCGAGGAGGCGUUACUCGCAGAAGAAGCGCCGGCUAACUCCGUGCCAGCAGCCGCGGUAAUAC